rnacentral:rRNA from 1 species
GAUGAACGCUGGCGGCGUGCUUAACACAUGCAAGUCGAACGGAAAGGCUCCUGCUUGCAGGGGUACUCGAGUGGCGAACGGGUGAGUAACACGUGGGUGAUCUGCCCUGCACUUCGGGAUAAGCCUGGGAAACUGGGUCUAAUACCGGAUAGGACGAUGGUUUGGAUGCCAUUGUGGAAAGUUUUUUCGGUGUGGGAUGAGCUCGCGGCCUAUCAGCUUGUUGGUGGGGUAAUGGCCUACCAAGGCGUCGACGGGUAGCCGGCCUGAGAGGGUGUACGGCCACAUUGGGACUGAGAUACGGCCCAGACUCCUACAGGAGGCAGCAGUGGGGAAUAUUGCACAAUGGGCGCAAGCCUGAUGCAGCGACGCCGCGUGGGGGAUGACGGCCUUCGGGUUGUAAACUCCUUUCGCUAGGGACGAAGCGCAAGUGACGGUACCUGGAGAAGAAGCACCGGCUAACUACGUG